rnacentral:rRNA from 1 species
AUUGAACGCUGGCGGCAGGCUUAACACAUGCAAGUCGAGCGGAGCGAGGGUGCUUGCACCUUAGCUUAGCGGCGGACGGGUGAGUAAUGCUUAGGAAUCUGCCUAUUAGUGGGGGACAACAUUCCGAAAGGGAUGCUAAUACCGCAUACGCCCUACGGGGGAAAGCAGGGGAUCUUCGGACCUUGCGCUAAUAGAUGAGCCUAAGUCGGAUUAGCUAGUUGGUGGGGUAAAGGCCUACCAAGGCGACGGUCUGUAGCGGGUCUGAGAGGAUGAUCCGCCACACUGGGACUGAGACACGGCCCGGACUCCUACGGGAGGCAGCAGUGGGGAAUAUUGGACAAUGGGCGGAAGCCUGAUCCAGCCAUGCCGCGUGUGUGAAGAAGGCCUUUUGGUUGUAAAGCACUUUAAGCGAGGAGGAGGCUACUAGUAUUAAUACUACUGGAUAGUGGACGUUACUCGCAGAAUAAGCACCGGCUAACUCUGUGCCAGCCGCCGCCGUAA